rnacentral:lncRNA from 1 species
CAACGUAAAAUUUGAAGGGUCCCUUCAUAAAUUUUGUUUAUUCAUAAAUAAGUGGAAAUCGAUGCAAUCUGUUUACCUGAUAUGACACUGAUAAGAACAAUCAAUGGUAGAAUCAAUACAUGGUUGACCUUUUGCAGUACCUAUCCUUCUGCAUCGGAGGAGAGAAUGGAUGAGCUUGCGCUAAAGCACCGACCAUUCCUGGCCAUCCACAUCGUCAAGCGCGGUGAGUCAGUGUCGGCCGUCAGCAGGUGAGGCAACGGGCGGUCGGCGCGUCGGGGGCGGGGUAGUUGUCGGGCGGAGAGGCGGCGAUCGGCCGGCGGG